rnacentral:rRNA from 1 species
UUACGGCCAGAUCAACUUGAAACACCACUUCCUGUACGAUCACCGAAGUUAAGCAACGUCGAGCCAGGUCAGUAGUACCCUAGAUGGGUGAUCACUUUGAAAUACUAAGUGAUGUA